UACUAUUGGAGUUGAUUUCGUAAUUAUCACUCUUCUUCUCUUUUGUUAUUUCUAUUUAUGGCCCAACACUCAUUUUUAUUUUAUUUUCAGAAAAUCAGAAUCGUGGAGCUGGAAGGAAAAACCGUCAAGCUGCAGAUUGUUAGAGUGAUCCUUGAAAAUGGAGAGCAACAUGAAGGUGAUAUUUUAAUAAGAGCAGAUGGAAUAUGGUCAGAAGUGCGUUCAAAACUCUUUGGGCGGCAAGAAGCAAAUUACUCGGGUUUCACAUGCUAUAGUGGAUUAACAAGCUAUGUGCCCCCAUAUAUUGAUACCGUUAGGUAGGAUGUUGGCCAUGGCAAGAUGCAGUGGUAUGCUUUCCAUGGGGAACCCCCUUCAAGUGACCCUUUCCCAAAAGGUAAGAAGAAUAGGCUUUUGGAUCUCUUUGGUAAUUGGUGUGAUGAAGUGAUUGCACUCAUAUCAGAAACAUGAGAACAUAUGAUUAUACAGAGGUGAUGCAGCACAUCCAAUGCAACCAAAUCUUGGUCAAGGAGGGUGUAUGGCAAUAGAGGUUGUUCAUUUGUAGUUUUCAACUUCCAAAUAAAAUGUAUUUCCUUGAGUAUAUACAAUUCAGGCAGCAUUAAUAUAUAGUGCUACAUGGAUAAACAUUAUCUAAUACCUAAAAUCUUUAUUUAUUUUUAUUAAUCUGCCUUAAUUUCAAUUUCAUUCCUCUAACCAAAUCUUUAUUUAUUUUU